UCUGACAUCUUUGACAUUUAUUUCUAGAUAUCACAAAAAAAAGGACGAACGGCGCCUGACCCCUUCAGGCUACAGCCGACUGUCACCGGAGCUGUAAAUACGCGGCAAGGACGCACGGUGUUAUCAGGCGUGAUUAUCAGCUAUAUAUAUAUAUUACGGGACCGAUCAUGGCGCCAAGACGGCCAGAUACACCACCCGAGGGGGCAAAAGGACUAUUCGAGGGGCCACUGUUGGACGGGAUACCGCCGCCCCUCAACGCGUUCUUCGCCCCCUUUCAUGAGGGUGAGUGUAUAAUCGGUUGCAUAUACGUACGGGACGGGGAGGAGACAGGGUUAUGCUACGGGUGUAUGUGAACGCAGACGCCCGAGCACAGGGUCGAGUACACGGUGUGUGUAAAACAUUAUUUAAAGAUCGACCCCGCGGUAAAUCUACGCGUGGGCAUCUGUGUACGCUGUGCUCGGUGCGUAAUGCACGCGUAUGCACCCGGUGAUUGCAUAACAUGCAUAGGGUACUUCUGCGACAACAGGGAGCUGUUAUUAAGACAGGGGGUUGCAGAAGUCCCUCCCCUGCCCCAGGUGUAAAAACGUAAUAUAUAUAUAAAUAUGUAAAUAUGUAGAUUUUGUUGCUGUUAUACAUCAUUUUUUUUUAUUAUAUAUAUAUUGUGACGCACUGGGCCUCGAAAAAGGGC